rnacentral:tRNA from 1 species
UUAGCUCAGUUGGUAGAGCAAAUGACUGUUAAUCAUUGGGUCGCUGGUUCGAGCCCAGCA